rnacentral:rRNA from 1 species
GACGAACGCUGGCGGCGUGCUUAACACAUGCAAGUCGAACGGAAAGGCCCUGCUUUUGUGGGGUGCUUGAGUGGCGAACGGGUGAGUAUCACGUGAGUAACCUGCCCUUGACUUUGGGAUAACUUCAGGAAACUGGGGCUAAUACCCGAUAGGAGCUCCUGCUGCAUGGUGGGGGUUGGAAAGUUUCGGCGGUUGGGGAUGGACUCGAAGCUUAUCAGCUUGUUGGUGGGGUAGUAGUUUACCAAGGCUUUGACGGGUAGCAGGCCUGAGAGGGUGAGCGGGGACAGGGGUACUGAGGGAGGGACCAGACUAGUAUGGGAGGCAGCAGGGGGGAACAUUGCACAAUAGGCGGGCGCGUGAUGAAAAAACGCCGCGUGCGGGAUAACGGCCUACGGGGGAUAAACCGAUUUCGCCUGAGACGAAGCGUGGGUGACGGUAAUUGGUAAAAAAGCACCGGCUAACUACGUG